rnacentral:rRNA from 1 species
GACGAACGCUGGCGGCGUGCCUAAUACAUGCAAGUCGAGCGGAAGUUGGAGAGCUUGCUCUUCAACUUUAGCGGCGGACGGGUGAGUAACACGUGGGCAACCUGCCCUGCAGAUCGGGAUAACUCCGGGAAACCGGUGCUAAUACCGAAUAGUUUUCGCCACCUCCUGGUGGCGUACGGAAAGACGGUUUCGGCUGUCACUGCAGGAUGGGCCCGCGGCGCAUUAGCUAGUUGGUGGGGUAACGGCCCACCAAGGCGACGAUGCGUAGCCGACCGGAGAGGGUGAUCGGCCACACUGGGACUGCAACACGGCCCAGACUCCUACGGGAGGCAGCAGUAGGGAAUCUUCCGCAAUGGACGAAAGUCUGACGGAGCAACGCCGCGUGAGUGACGAAGGUUUUCGGAUCGUAAAACUCUGUUGUGAGGGAAGAACAAGUACCACUUAACUACUGGUACCUUGACGGUACCUCACCAGAAAGCCACGGCUAACUACGUGCCAGCCGCCGCCGUAAUAC